CCCAGGCCAGGGGAUGCACAUGAUUGAUGUGCAAAGGAGCAUGACUACACAUUCCGGAGGUAAGAUGAAGCACUGUAGCUGCGUCUGAACAGACGUGCUGCACC
rnacentral:miRNA from 1 species